GUUUUUAUAGUUGAAUACAACAGGAAUUUUUCAGAUUCCAAGUCUAGGUUAAAGUCCUAGUAGAAAUU
rnacentral:tRNA from 1 species